rnacentral:rRNA from 1 species
UACGUAGGGUGCAAGCGUUGUCCGGAAUUAUUGGGCGUAAGAGCUCGUAGGCGGUUUGUCGCGUCGAAUGUGAAAACCCGGGGCUCAACCCCGGGCCUGCAUUCGAUACGGGCAGACUAGAGUUCGGUAGGGGAGUCUGGAAUUCCUGGUGUAGCGGUGAAAUGCGCAGAUAUCAGGAGGAACACCGGUGGCGAAGGCGGGUCUCUGGGCAGUAACUGACGCUGAGGAGCGAAAGCGUGGGUAGCAAACAGG